AUGACUUGGGGCACGGGAGGGCUGCCCCUGCUGCUGCUGAGCCUCGCUGUGCUGGAUCUCCCCCUGGAGACCAUGGCACCACUGUCUAACACCAGCUCAAGCUCUGCAGCUACCUUCCCUUCCUCUCAUCCUGCAACCUCCACCCCAGAGAUGCCAAUGGAUGCCUUCACAUCCAGUGCUUCUACAGCUCAGCAGAGCAGCCUGGCAGCCUCCAACAUCACCACACCACAGGCAAAGGGCAGCACAGCUGACAGCACUCCUGUGUCACCUGGGCUGGCACCCAGCACCAGCAAUACCCACGCAGGGCUGGGGCUCACGACCACUAGCACACCAACUCCAACCUCCAUGGCCAUGACACCCAGCUGUGACAAGACUACCACUGUCAUGUCUGUGGGGACCAGCACGGCCCUGGCUGCCAGCUCAUUUGGAGUUGAAGUGAGCAUGGUGCCUCCCUCCACCUCUACUCUUCUCUCCUCCACUGGGGUGGGCACCACGCUUGGGGCCAGCCCCCACCAAGAGCCAGCCAUGACCACACUGCUUGGCAGCACAUCCCCAGGGACCAGCACCACCUCUUCUUCCACCACCCCGGAAGUGACAGACACUUCAGAUGAGCCCUUCAUGACCCCAUCAGACACCACAACCUCCCUUGUUACCACCACAGAGGUCUCUGGGAGCACACCUGUGCCCAGCCACCCAGCUGGGAUCACACCUAGGACCAUCCCUGGGACUUCCACCCCAACAGAACCAGAGACCCCCAGAGACACUGCAGAGACCACGGCCAUGGGUGUGACAGCAACUGUGUCCCCAGCUCUCCCUACCUCCUCAACACCCAUGGAGAGCUCAACACUGCUGCCUACCACUGACUCUACCACCACAGCCACCCUCCUUUCCUCCAGCCCUGAAACAGAAGCCUCCACCCCAGAGGAGUCCAGCACAUCCAUAGAGACUGGCAACACCUCACCUCCCGCUGUGCUUCCUCCCACCACAACUACAGAAGAUUCAGUUGAAUCUACAGAAGAGACCUUGGCAACCCUGGCAGACACCACGGCCAGCCCUGUUAUCAGCACAUCAGACCUCAUGAGCACUCCCUCUUCAAGCUACCCAGACAGGACCACUCCUGACAUCUUCCCCUCAACUAUGGAGUCGACUCCAGGCACUGAGCCCUCUUCCCCUGCCACCAGCUCAGCCCAGACCUCGGAGGCUGCUACCCUCAGCACACCUACAGCCCUGCCAAUGCUGCCACCAGCCUGCCCCUCUGGCUCAUCCAACACCAGUGCAUCUCACCUCUUUCUGUCGCUGCGGCUAACCACCCCUCUGGACCUGGGGAACACCACGGUGCAGGAGCUGGUGUUGUCCAAGCUCCGUGAGGACCUGCAGACAGCAUUCCCAUGUGCUGGCCUGUCACUGGCAUGGCGAGGGAAGAGGAGGACUUGACUGCUGCCCCUCACCUGGACUGCCAAGCCACCUGCUCCCAGCAACUGAUUCCAUGGUGGUGCAGGCCCCUGGGGAAUCCCAUACAGCUCCUCUUGAAUCUGGGGCUUCCUGUCCUUCACUCUGUACCCCCAGUCCCCUCCUGCCCCUUCCCACAGCCUGUCUGAAGAGCCUGAGCCCUCCCACCACCCUGCUCCAGACCUGGUUCCUCCUGCAGCUCUUCUGGGGGGCUGGGAGAAGGGGACCCCACGAGACUGGGCUUUUACAUUUGGGACUGAGCUGGCUCAGCCAUCAAAGCCACCCUGGGGACAGAGGAAUGAGAGGAAGGAGACCUGAAGCCCCCAGUACUGCUGUGCCCAAGACUCACCUGUGGUAUUGCUGACAGAGGAGAACACCCAUGCCGGGCAGUAAAUAGAAAUUCCAUGUUUUCUGUGUUGAAGUGAUGACUUCCUUAUUUUCCAAGUUGUCUUUCCCAAUUUUCAGCUAUUGGAGGUACUGGUGAGGAAAACUGAGUCCCCAGAGCUCUGCAUGGAGAGACAGGCUCAGUGCUGUCCCCUCCCACCAGGGGCUGCUGCAAACAUUCCCAAGGAUGGCUCGGCACCCCGGCAGACUGGUGGUCUCUGCUUUGCAGCUCUCUGCCCCAUAACACCCCACAGCUGCAGGGGCAGCACUGUGGGGCUGUGGAAAUCCCGUGGGCUGUGCUCCUUCCCUGUUUUUUCCAGUCCCCAACUAAGGAGGCGGCUGCAACAUCUGUCUCCCUGCAGCAAAGUCAUUUAUUAACUGAUUAAUUAGCCAGAUAAAAUCCAACUGAAGCAAUUAUUAGCCUUAGCAAGCCACCUCUCCUGGAGAUUGAAAACUGAAAUAAUUAGCAAAAUAGCCUUGUUGCGUGUCAGGGGUUGUUUUUGGCUGAUCCCUGCUUCUCACUGGCAGCCCUCGCUGCCCCGGC
ensembl:lncRNA uncharacterized protein PB18E9.04c-like